rnacentral:lncRNA from 1 species
GGGACAACAGGUGUGUACCACCACACCUAACUAAUUUUUUAUUUUUUGUAAAGACAGAGUCUCACCAUGUUGCCCGGGCUUGUCUCAAACUGCUGAACUCAAGUGAAGCUCCUGCUUCAGCCCCACAAAGUGCUGGGGUUACAGGCGUGAGCCACUGGCCCCCUUCAGCACUUCAGAUGUGCUGAAGGGAAAGCAGACACAUCUUACUGUGGCAAAGCAGGAGAAAGAGAGAGCUCAGGGGAAAAUGCCACUUUUUUUUUUUCUUUGAGACAGAGUUUCGUUCUUGUUGCCCAGGCUGGAGUGCAGCAGCACGAUCUUGGCUCACCGUAACCUCCGCCUCCGGGGUUCAAGAGAUUCUCCUGCCUCAGCCUCCCCAGCAGCUGGGAUGACAGGCAUGCACCACCACGCCCGGCUAAUUGGGAAACUACCACUUUUAAAACCAUCAGAUCUCAUGAGAAGUCCCUCACUAUCACGAGAACAGCAAGGAGGAAACCGCCCCCAUGAUCCAAUCACCUCCCACCAGGUUCCUCCCUUGACAUGUGAGAAUUACAGUUCGAGAUGAGAUUUGGGUGGGGACACAGAGCCAAACCAUGUCAGUUUAUAAUUAGCACUGUGAAAGAAAUAACCAGUGAUGAAAUAGAGAGUAACAAGGGGAAUAAGGGGAAUCCACUUUCCAUAGGAGAUGAGGAAGGUGACCGCUGAGCAGUGACUUGAUAGAUGAGAACAGCCCAGCUCUGGGAAAGGAAAGCAGAAAGAACAAGGGCAAAGGCUUUGGGGUGGGAAAGAGCUUUGUAUAUUUGAUGAACUGGAAAAAAAAAAAAAACCCGGGAGGCUAAAUCAGAGCGGAGAGAAGGAGAAGAAACUAAGGCAAUAGGCCAUAUCCUGCAGGGUUGUAUAGACCACAGCAAGGAGUUUGGAUUUCAUUCUGAAUGCUAUGGGAGGCCACAGAAGACAUUAAGAACACAGUGGCAUAGCCUGAUUCCUAUCUUUUCAAAAGGAUCACUUGACUGCUGUGUGGAGAAUGCAUUGAAAGGAGGGAGGCCAAUGGAGAAGACUGCAGUUUCCCUUGCAAAAGAUGAUGCUGGUGGAGGCAGAGGCUGCAGCAACAGAUUUACAGCUGUUAUCAGUCACCUCCGGCAGGCCAGAGCCUUCGAAAGAGAUUAAGGCACAAACCUACACAGCGGGGAGAACACGUGAAGACACAGGGAGAAGAUGGCCACCUGCAAGCCAAGGAGAGAGAUUCAGAAGAAACCAACCCUGCUGACACCCUGACCUGAGACUUCUAGACUCCCGAGUGGUAGGAAAAUUAAUUUCUGUUGUUCAAGCCACCUAGUCUGUGGUGCUUUGUUAGUUCAGUGCUGGCAAAUGGAUACCCUGAUAUCUAAGGAUGCAUGUCUUUUACAUUCUGUAAUGUAAGGAUGCAUCUAAGGAUGCGUGUCUUUUACAUUCUGGAAAAUUCUCAGCUGUUUCUCUUUGGCUAUAUUUCCUCUUCAGCUGUUUGGCUCUUGUUCUUUUUCUCUGCCCUCUCCUAGCCUGCAAUCUAAUGAAUAUUAAACUUAUUCUAUCCUCC